CCUACGGGAGGCAGCAGUGAGGAAUAUUUGUCAAUGGCCGAGAGGCUGAACCAGCCAAGUCGCGUGAGGGAAGACGGCCCUAUGGGUUGUAAACCUCUUUUGUCGGGGAGCAAAACGAACAACGUGUCGUCCAUGGAGAUUACCCGAAGAAAAAGCAUCGGCUACCUCCGUGCCAGCAGCCGCGGUAAUACGGAGGAUGCGAGCGUUAUCCGGAUUUAUUGGGUUAAAAGGGUGAGCAGGCGGAGUUGCAAGUCAGCGGUCAAAUUGCGGGGCUCAACCCCGUACUGCCGUUGAAACUGCAGCCCUGGAGUGUGCGAGAGGUAUGCGGAAGGCGUGGUGUAGCGGUGAAAUGCAUAGAUAUCACGCAGAACUCCGAUUGCGAAGGCAGCAUACCGGCGCGCAACUGACGCUCAGGCACGAAAGCGUGGGUAUCGAACAGGAUUAGAUACCCGUGUAGUC
rnacentral:rRNA from 1 species